GGGGGCGAAAUAGGAUCGACGUGCCUAAUAAAAAGAUUGCUUUUACUCGGGAUGAUUCCGCCGAUGGCUUAUGCCAUAUGGGUCAAAACAAAGAAACGCAAACGAUAAUAAUCGUUCUGUAGGUCGUUUAGCUUUAGCAGCUUAAUCCUACGCGGCUGGAGGGUGUGCCGGGCAACAGAAAAACCCUCACU
rnacentral:tmRNA from 2 species